GACGAACGUUGGCGGCGUGCUUAAUACAUGCAAGUCAACUGAAGCAGUGGUAGCAAUAUCGCUGUGGAGGUGGCGCACGGGUGGGUAACACGUAGGUAAUCUGCCUUCAGGUCUGGCAUAACUCCGGGAAACCGGGGCUAAUAGCAGAUGAUGCAGCGGCUCGACAUCGAGACAGUUGUUAAAGCUAUGGCGCCUGAAGAUGAGCCUGCGUCUGAUUAGCUAGUUGGCGGGGUAACGGCCCACCAAGGCAACGAUCAGUAGCUGGUCUGAGAGGAUGAUCAGCCACACUGGAACUGAGACACGGUCCAGACUCCUACGGGAGGCAGCAGUAAGGAAUAUUGCUCAAUGGGAGAAAUCCUGAAGCAGCAACGCCGCGUGAGGGACGAAGGGCUUUGGCUUGUAAACCUCUGUAGUGAGAGAAAAAAAUCCCAAUCUUUGGGACAUGAUGGUAUCUCAAAAGUAAGCCCCGGCUAACUACGUG
rnacentral:rRNA from 1 species